rnacentral:rRNA from 1 species
UACGUAGGGCGCAAGCGUUGUCCGGAAUUAUUGGGCGUAAAGAGCUCGUAGGCGGUUUGUCACGUCGGCUGUGAAAACCCGAGGCUCAACCUCGGGCCUGCAGUCGAUACGGGUAGACUAGAGUGCUGUAGGGGAGACUGGAAUUCCUGGUGUAGCGAUGAAAUGCGCAGAUAUCAGGAGGAACACCCGUGGCGAAGGCGGCCUUCUGGGUCGACCCUGACGCUGAGGCGCGAAAGCGUGGGGAGCGAACGGG